rnacentral:lncRNA from 1 species
UACACAUUACCAUCUCCCACAGCUAACAACUUAAUUAAGUUCACAUUAGAUCUGAUUCUCCAAAUAUCAUCACAAUUAACAUCUUCAAUCAAAAUUAAUCGAACUCGAAACCCGAAAAUUUUCAACACACAACAAACUAAAACUACUAAAGAAAUGAAAAGGGCAGCUACCUAGAAGCAAAAUCAAAGCAAAGAUCGAGACAGAUCGUUUGAAAUCGCAACCGACAUUGAAAAAUUGAGCACAACACACAUUCUUCCUCUUGACAAUCUACUUGAAGCAGCUAAAACAGAGACAAAAUGUAAGUAUAUUUGUGUGUAUAGGUGGGGGGCUAGGAGGAGCUGGUGCUUUUGAUAACAGUAGAUAGGGGGUUUUGUUUUGUGUUGUUUUUAUAAAUUUGGAAUUAUAUGAAAAAACCCUACAACAAACGAGGAGAGAAGUGAGAUAUACACUAGAUAUACAUACAGAUGUGUGUGAAUGGCUGUUGUCUUUGCUUUACAUCUUUCUAAAACACCAUCUUCUGUUUCUCUCUCUAGAAUCCCUUUUCUCAGAAGCCGUGGGAGAGAGAGAUUGAGAGAGAUUGUGUGUGUGUGUGUGUUUCGGACAAAACUGGAAAUGUUAAUUUAGGAGUAUUUUAUUUGGCAAAGUAGUGGAAGUAAAAUUAUUCUUAAACUACUGUAGCAGAAUCAAAGACAGUAGACUCUUGUAGUCUUGUUUCCCGUGGUGUUUGUGUUUUCAGUUUCUCAAUUUGUUUCCACACUGAUUUAUAUACUUAACAACAUAUUUUAGGUUUCUCUAAUUUAACAAAUUAUAUAUAAUAAAAUCAAAAGUCUAAUAUAUAUUUGAGAAUGGACAAAAAUAUUAGCUAAAUAAUGUGAUGAUACAUAUCUUCUCAGCAGACGGGAAUGAGAAAUGUAUUCUAACUCUUAGACUAUCCCGAACUGAUUAUAUAUAGUAGUAGUGUAAAUCAGAGUUUGAAUCGAUGAAAAAUAGAUCAAAGUUAUACGGGUCGUUUGGCCGAGUUUAAAAGAAGUGAUUUAUUUCUUAAAGUAAAGAAGUGGAUUAUAAGCAAAAUGUUGGUUUGAACUUAUAAGUUACUAAAAAUGUUUGCAUACUUGUAACUUAUUUUGUUAUAAUAAGCUCCAAAUCCAAAAAAAAAAAAAAACUAAGGGGGUGUUUGUUUCUAGCUUAAAAGUCGGGCUUCUAGGUUAUAAGUUCGAAUCAUUAUUUGUACCGUUUGUGUAAAAAAUCAAGAAGCACUUAUAAAAAGUUAGGAAUGCUAACUUUUGUUUCAGGGUUUCUGCUUAUUUUCCAAACACUUUAAUCACUUAUAAGUCUUAGCUUGCUUCUAACUUCUACUCUACUUUUUUAUUUUAAGCAAGAAGCACUUAUUUUAAGCUCACUCAAACGGCCCCUAAGGUUUCCUAACUUUUUCUUGGGCUUUUAACUUUUAAGCCUCAUUUUAAGUACUUUUAACUUGCCAAACGGUAUAUAAAUAAGUUGAAACCACUUCUCUUCAAAAUAAGCCAUAAGCUCAAUCUGCCAAACACGCACAUAAUAAUUUAGAUAAGAUUUUACAAAUUAAAUUGAUGAACGAAAAUUUUUAUAUGAAUUUCGUUAUUAGGAUAAAUUAUUAUUAUGUUAUAUAUUGAUAUUAUACUAUAUAAUAAUAUAAUAUCCAUAGUAAUAAACAUAUAUAAAUAAAUCUUACUUUUGAUCUGAAUACUCCGAUUAUUGAAGUACUUAUUAUAGAAUAAGGUUCACCAAAUUGGAACUUGAGUACUGAAUUUUGUAACAUUAAUAUAUAGAUUAAUAAAUACUCCCCAGUGUUCUAAAAGUCAGCGAUUAAUCGGGAUUAAUAGCCGAUUAAUCGUUGUUCAGUCGGACACCGUCUCGAUUAAGCGUUAAUCGGCGAAAAAAAUCCUUUUUUCUGAAAAUCGGUCAAAAUCGGGAUUAAUCGGUCAAAAGUCGGGAUUAAUCGGGAAAAGUCGGUCAAAAAUCGGUGAAUUUAAAAAUUUUAAAAAUAAAAAGUAAAAAAAUUUCAGAAUUUAAAUUUAAUUUUAAAUAAAACAAAAGGCACGGAAAUGACAAAAUACAGAAAUUAGAAUUGUUUUUAUUACCUUUCACUCUUUCAAUAUUAACUCCUAAACUCUAAUUACAUAAAUUUGCAAUAUCUUCAUUCGCAGAUCAAUCAAAUUCAAGUUUAUAUAUGAGAUGACUGGACUUGUAUAUGUAUAUAAAGGCAUGUUUUGUAUUAUAAAAAAUAAUUAAUUUUUUGAUUUUAUAUGACUAUAAAUUUAUACUAUAUAUAAUUAUAUAUAAAAUUUAAAUAAUAAUAUUAAAUUGAUUCCGAUUAAUCACUCCGAUUAUCCGAUUAAUCGUUGGACGGUGCUUUCUCCGACUAAGCCCGAUUCCCGCUUUUUACAGAUACUCUCAUGUUGCAUUUUCAGCUAGCAUAUAUGCAUUAGUCCUCAACUUUACACUUUCUUGCUCCCUUACAAUUGCUCGUUAUCAGAUUUUCAUUUAUUAGGGGAAAAAAAGAGAACUCGAAUCGAUAUAAACUUCAAGUUUUGGGUUUUAGUUNACACAAGAGGGUCGUGUAGCACUUAUUAACAUAUAUUCUAUUUUUGUAGAAGUUAUACUUAUUACAUAUAUGAAGUAGCCAGCCAUUAAGAGUGUCCACUAUUUCAAAUCAGAACAUUUUCCUUUUUUAAGCUUUCUCCAUGAGUAUUUCAAGCAAAUCCGGAAAAAAGAUAAGGCAAUGGGCGCAGAUCUACAGAAAAAAGAGUAGUACUUUGUUGCAUCUGCUGCUGUUGUAGCACCGCUUCUAUCUCUCCCUGAAACAGUGAGGAUGCCAUAAUGUCAACAAAAAAAGAGUAAAAGCACAAUCUAAAUGGAAUCAAAGUUUAACGUGGUAUAUAUAGUCUAGCGUGGUGUAUAUACUUGCCCAUGGUUUUAUUGUUGAAGCAAGCACAUAUUUCAUGAUAUAUGUCAAUAGGUGCAAUACUUAAGGACUUCUUAUAUUCAAUGAGUAGAAUACAGCCAAAAUAAACCAUCAAUAGAGACAGAUUUAGUUAACGGAUUAAUCUAAUAUUACAGAAGUAAUAUGUAUUUCAAAUAAUUAUCAUCAAAGAAUGCGUAAACCAGCUAUAACAAAAUGCAUUUUAUAUAGUUAAGAAUCCACUCAAAAAAUGUAACCAGGUGUGCUUUUCUAUUCUAAACCUAUAUGAGCUGUCAAGUGGAGAGAUUCUAAGUGUUUUGGUGCAAUAUGAAGCUUCCAUUAGACUAUUAAUCUAUGUCAUCUAGGUGACUUGCUAAUCCAAUGGUACCUAGGUAAAUAUGUUUUCACAUGUAAUGUAAUAAUAAAUACCUGAUGUACUUGAAGUAUGAUCUUCCACUCCCUGAAAAUUAAUGCAAAUCAGCCUAAUAAGUAGCUUUCAGUUAUAAAUCUCUAUAGUUUGCACCAAGUGCCUGUGAUUGCAGGCAAGCUUCUACCUGUGAAUAAAUGACUCGAGCUGCUUCCAGCUGCGACAUUUCUGCAUCAAAGGUAUUAACCAUCUCCAAGACUUCAGGCGUACUAACAAAUCGCACAAACCUAGAAACAAGGACAAUAGUUUAUAGCAAAAGCUGCCACACAAGAGUCCAACAAAAUUCAUAAGCUACAUUACCUUUCAAGUGUACCCUUAGUGAACCACCUUUCUCCAUCUCUGUAAUUCUCCGCCUCGAGUUUAAUUGACUUAGCUGACAAAGCAACUUGUUCCUCUGCAAUCUUCAAUUGUGCCACAAAUGGCUUCAACAACCCUGAAGCAAGCUUCUCUACAUUCCCAUCACGAGAAAUAAACAAUUCACAUCUGCCCAAAGCAUGCAAAACAAAAUUUAAGCACCAUCACAUCAAAACAAAUGAAUUCAAAAAAUUCAAAACAAACAUUGUCUUCACCGUGAACGCUUAGGGGAUAGCUGGAACACAGCAUAGUCAAUAGGUGUCUCCGACUUCAUCUUUCCUCUCUCAAGAAUCGUAUAUCAUACAAUCAAAACCUGCUGCCCCUCUUUAGCAAACUAAAAUUCCAAUAAAGCAAUCCACAAACCACAUGUCUUCAGAUCUUACACAUAAUGUACCUAACCACGCCUCCGACCUCAAUCCAGCCAAAUUCACCCUCUGCAAGCAAAAUUACACAAUCAUCUCGAGCCAACACAACCAGCAUUUAACUAAACAAACAAAACACAGAUCUUACACAACAAAACUCAAUUCCAACAUUCACACACACCUACACAUUACCAUCUCCCACAGCUAACAACUUAAUUAAGUUCACAUUAGAUCUGAUUCUCCAAAUAUCAUCACAAUUAACAUCUUCAAUCAAAAUUAAUCGAACUCGAAACCCGAAAAUUUUCAACACACAACAAACUAAAACUACUAAAGAAAUGAAAAGGGCAGCUACCUAGAAGCAAAAUCAAAGCAAAGAUCGAGACAGAUCGUUUGAAAUCGCAACCGACAUUGAAAAAUUGAGCACAACACACAUUCUUCCUCUUGACAAUCUACUUGAAGCAGCUAAAACAGAGACAAAAUGUAAGUAUAUUUGUGUGUAUAGGUGGGGGGCUAGGAGGAGCUGGUGCUUUUGAUAACAGUAGAUAGGGGGUUUUGUUUUGUGUUGUUUUUAUAAAUUUGGAAUUAUAUGAAAAAACCCUACAACAAACGAGGAGAGAAGUGAGAUAUACACUAGAUAUACAUACAGAUGUG